rnacentral:rRNA from 1 species
AAUCAAGCGCGAAAAGGGCGUUUGGUGGAUGCCUUGGCAGCAAGAGGCGAUGAAGGACGUGAUACUCUGCGAUAAGCUAGGGGGAGCCGAGAAUAGGCUUUGAUCCCUGGAUCUCCGAAUGGGGCAACCCACCUGAUAUUCAGUUAUUAUCAGCCGUCAGGUUUUUGAUAAUUGGGUAAACCAGGUACUUCUUACCUGAAUACAUAGGGUUUGAAGAGCAAACCCGGGGAACUGAAACAUCUAAGUACCCGGAGGAAAGGAAAUCAAUGAUACUCCCCUAGUAGCGGCGAGCGAACGGGGACCAGCCGAGCCUUGAGAGUGAUCGGAACAUGCUGGAAAGCAUGGCCAUAGCGGGUGACAGCCCCGUACGAGAAGCUCGAUAGGACGUAUUAAGUAGGGCGGGACACGUGAAAUCCUGUCUGAAGAUCGGAGGACCACCUUCGAAGGCUAAGUACUCCUUGCUGACCGAUAGCGAACCAGUACCGUGAGGGAAAGGUGAAAAGCACCCCGACGAGGGGAGUGAAACAGUACCUGAAACCGAACGCCUACAAUCAGUCGGAGCUCCUUACGGAGUGACGGCGUACCUUUUGUAUAAUGGGUCAUCGACUUGGUCUAUCUAGCAAGCUUAAGCCGAUAGGUGUAGGCGCAGCGAAAGCGAGUCUUAAUAGGGCGUCGAGUUAGAUGGAUCAGACCCGAAACCGAGUGAUCUAGGCAUGACCAGGAUGAAGGUAAGGUAACACUUACUGGAGGUCCGAACCCACACCUGUUGAAAAAGGUCGGGAUGAGUUGUGCCUAGGGGUGAAAGGCCAAUCAAACUCGGAGAUAGCUGGUUCUCCGCGAAAUCUAUUUAGGUAGAGCGUCAUCCGAAUACCCCCGGGGGUAGAGCACUGGAUGGGUAAUGGGGCCCCACAGGCUUACUGAUCCUAACCAAACUCCGAAUACCGGGGAGUACUAGAUGGCAGACACACUGCGGAUGCUAACGUCCGUAGUGGAGAGGGAAACAACCCUGACCUACAGCUAAGGCCCCCAAUUCAUGGCUAAGUGGGAAAGCAGGUGGGACGACCAAAACAACCAGGAGGUUGGCUUAGAAGCAGCCAUCCUUUAAAGAUAGCGUAACAGCUCACUGGUCUAAACAAGUUGUCCUGCGGCGAAGAUGUAACGGGGCUCAAGCCAUGAGCCGAAGCUUAGGAUGCCGUAAGGCAUGGUAGCGGAGCGUAGUGUGAUAUAGCACUUAUCUUUACUAUCGCACAUUGGAGACCGGGCACGUGUAAACGUGCUCAUGUAUCCGAUAGGCGGUAGCACAAGAUAAAGUGCUUUCAGUGAAGCCGGCCUGUGAGGGAUCCGGUGGAGAGAUCACUAGCGAGAAUGAUGACAUGAGUAGCGACAAAGAGUGUGAGAGACACUCUCGCCGAAAGUCCAAGGGUUCCUGCUUAAAGCUAAUCUGAGCAGGGUAAGCCGACCCCUAAGGCGAGGCCGAAAGGCGUAGUCGAUGGGAACCAGGUUAAUAUUCCUGGGCCAGGAGGAUGUGACGGAUUGUGGCGGCGUGCGUGCCUUAUCGGAUUGGCGCGUAUCCAAGACAGUCCCAGGAAAUAGCCCUCCAUGAGAUCGUACCCUAAACCGACACAGGUGGACUGGUAGAGAAUACCAAGGCGCUUGAGAGAACGAUGUUGAAGGAACUCGGCAAAAUACCUCCGUAAGUUCGCGAGAAGGAGGCCCGGUACACGACUACCGGGGGCACAAACCAGGGGGUGGCGACUGUUUAUUAAAAACACAGGGCUCUGCGAAGUCGCAAGACGACGUAUAGGGUCUGACGCCUGCCCGGUGCCUGAAGGUUAAAAGGAGGGGUGCAAGCUCCGAAUUGAAGCCCAGGUAAACGGCGGCCGUAACUAUAACGGUCCUAAGGUAGCGAAAUUCCUUGUCGGGUAAGUUCCGACCUGCACGAAUGGCGUAACGACUUCCCCGCUGUCUCCAACAUCGACUCAGCGAAAUUGAAUUGCCUGUCAAGAUGCAGGCUUCCCGCGGUUAGACGGAAAGACCCCGUGCACCUUCACUACAGCUUCGCACUGGCAUCAGGCACAACAUGUGCAGGAUAGGUGGUAGGCUUUGAAGCAGGGACGCCAGUCCCUGUGGAGCUUCCCUUGAGAUACCACCCUUGUUCUGCUUGAUGUCUAACCGCGGCCCGUUAUCCGGGUCCGGGACCCUGCGUGGUGGGUAGUUUGACUGGGGCGGUCGCCUCCUAAAGCGUAACGGAGGCGCGCGAAGGUUGGCUCAGAGCGGUCGGAAAUCGCUCGUUGAGUGCAAUGGCAGAAGCCAGCCUGACUGCAAGACUGACAAGUCGAGCAGAGUCGAAAGACGGCCAUAGUGAUCCGGUGGUCCCAAGUGGGAGGGCCAUCGCUCAACGGAUAAAAGGUACGCCGGGGAUAACAGGCUGAUACUGCCCAAGAGUCCAUAUCGACGGCAGUGUUUGGCACCUCGAUGUCGGCUCAUCUCAUCCUGGGGCUGGAGCAGGUCCCAAGGGUAUGGCUGUUCGCCAUUUAAAGAGGUACGUGAGCUGGGUUUAGAACGUCGUGAGACAGUUCGGUCCCUAUCUGCCGUGGGUGUAGGAUACUUGAGAGGAGUUGCCCCUAGUACGAGAGGACCGGGGUGAACGAUCCACUGGUGGACCAGUUGUCAUGCCAAUGGCAGUGCUGGGUAGCUAUGAUCGGACAGGAUAACCGCUGAAGGCAUCUAAGCGGGAAGCCCCCCUCAAAACAAGGUAUCCCUGAGGACCGUGGAAGACCACCACGUCGAUAGGCCGGAGAUGUAAGCACAGCAAUGUGUUCAGUUGACCGGUACUAAUGGUCCGAUAGGCUUGAUUUG